rnacentral:rRNA from 1 species
UACAGAGGGUGCGAGCGUUAAUCGGAAUUACUGGGCGGAAAGCGUGCGUAGACGGUAGCGUAAGUCAGAUGUGAAAGCCCCGGGCUCAACCUGGGAACUGCAUUUGAGACUGCUCUGCUCGGGUGCGGAAGAGGGAAGCGGAAUUUCCGGUGUAGCGGUGAAAUGCGUAGAUAUCGGAAGGAACACCAGUGGCGAAAGCGGCUUCCUGGUCCGACACCGACGUUCAGGCACGAAAGCGUGGGGAGCAAACAGG